AAAUAACUUAGAAGUCAAAUGACUAAUGCCUGAAUAAAAGUGGCUAAUGCUUUUACAGGUACAUCUUUCUGCUCUUUUGUACUGAAAUGGCUGACUGGCACUUCAUUAACUGGUGAAGCGUUACUGGGACAGCCACAGGGAAGGUUAUGAGGUCCUCGAGUGGUUUUAAAAUUGCACCAGUCAAGACAAAAGAAAAACUAUAUGCUUUGAUGUCAGGAAAACUCAUGCAUGCUUUAUCACGG
rnacentral:lncRNA from 12 species